CCGUGACCCUUAAACAAAACAGACCGCGAACGAGUCACCCGUGCCGCCGGGCUCCGGCCCGGCACGCUGCCCCCCUCGAACCUCCCGCGGGGAAGGGGGGGCCGCGAAAAGGAACCCGCGGCGCCUCGGGCGCCAAGGAACACCAGUACUACCUCCUGCCUCGCGGAGCGGUCGGCCCGCCUUCCGCUCCCCGGGCAGCGGUUACACCUUAAUCGACACGACUCUCGGCAACGGAUAUCUCGGCUCUCGCAUCGAUGAAGAACGUAGCAAAAUGCGAUACCUGGUGUGAAUUGCAGAAUCCCGCGAACCAUCGAGUUUUUGAACGCAAGUUGCGCCCGAAGCCUUCUGGCGGAGGGCACGUCUGCCUGGGCGUCACGCCAAAAGACACUCCCAACACCCCCCGCGGGGCGAGGGACGUGGCGUCUGGCCCCCCGCGCCGCAGGGCGAGGUGGGCCGAAGCAGGGGCUGCCGGCGAACCGCGCCGGGCGUAGCACGUGGUGGGCGACAUCAAGUUGUUCUCGGUGCAGCGUCCCGGCGCGCGGCUGGCCAGUCGGCCCUACGGACCCAUCGAGCGACCGAGCUUGUCCUCGGACC
rnacentral:rRNA from 1 species